rnacentral:rRNA from 1 species
UACGGAGGGGGCUAGCGUUGUUCGGAAUUACUGGGCGUAAAGCGCACGUAGGCGGCUUUGUAAGUUAGAGGUGAAAGCCCGGGGCUCAACUCCGGAAUUGCCUUUAAGACUGCAUCGCUAGAAUUGUGGAGAGGUAAGUGGAAUUCCGAGUGUAGAGGUGAAACUCGUAGAUAUUCGGAAGAGCACCAGUGGCGAAGGCGACUUACUGGACACAUAUUGACGCUGAGGUGCGAAAGCGUGGGGAGCAAACAGGGAGUUAGAAA